rnacentral:rRNA from 1 species
UACGUAGGGUGCAAGCGUUAAUCGGAAUUACUGGGCGUAAAGAGCGCGCAGGCGGUCGUUCAAGUCGAGUGUGAAAGCCCCCGGCUCAACUGGGGAGGGUCAUUCGAUACUGAUCGACUCGAAGGCAGGAGAGGGAAGUGGAAUUCCCGGUGUAGUGGUGAAAUGCGUAGAUAUCGGGAGGAACACCAGUGGCGAAGGCGACUUCCUGGCCUGUUCUUGACGCUGAGGCGCGAAAGCUAGGGGAGCAAACGGG